rnacentral:rRNA from 1 species
CGGAGCCUGAUCCAGCCAUGCCGCGUGCAGGAAGACGGCCCUACGGGUUGUAAACUGCUUUUGUACGGGAAUAAACCUUAGUAUGUAUACUAAGCUGAAUGUACUGUAAGAAUAAGGAUCGGCUAACUCCGUGCCAGCACCCGCGGUAAUACGGAGGAUCCGAGCGUUAUCCGGAUUUAUUGGGUUUAAAGGGUGCGUAGGCGGCCUGUUAAGUCAGGGGUGAAAGACGGUAGCUCAACUAUCGCGGGCCCUUGAUACUGAUGGGCUUGAAUGUACUAGAGGUAGGCGGAAUGUGACAAGUAGCGGUGAAAUGCAUAGAUAUGUCACAGAACACCAAUUGCGAAGGCAGCUUACUAUGGUAUGAUUGACGCUGAGGCACGAAAGCGUGGGGAUCAAACAGGAUUAGAUACCCUGGUAGCCACGCCCUAAACGAUGAAUACUCGAUGUUAGCGAUAUACGGUUAGCGUCAAAGCGAAAGCGUUAAGUAUUCCACCUGGGGAGUACGCCCGCAAGGGUGAAACUCAAAGGAAUUGACGGGGGCCCGCACAAGCGGAGGAGCAUGUGGUUUAAUUCUAUGAUACGCGAGGAACCUUACCCGGGCUUGAAAGUUAGUGAAUUGAGCAGAGACGCUCAAGUCC